GCCGUGCGUAAUAAUUCAAACCGCAUGAAAGGACAGUCCGCGUAUAACGAUUUCUUCGACUGCCAUCGAGCACCGACAUCGUCGUCAUCGUCGUGGUCGUGGUCGUCGUGGUUAUCGUUGUGUUUGAACAAAGACGCAUGACAUCGUCCUACCGUUUGGUUAUCGCCUUUUAAUUUAUUGACGAUGACGGGCCGCAUACAGUAAGAAAGAAAAAUCUCUAACCGAUUGUGUUACUUCUCUGAAUGAGACCUAAGAAAAUAUUAUGAAAAAUAUAAUGAAAAAAAACGAAGAGAAAAAGAAAAAGAAAAAGAAGAAGAAUGACUGAGUGGCACGCAGAUGCUCAGGCAAUUGUGGGUCUUGCUCCCUACGUCUCAAAGAGGGACAGAAAUGUGUCAACGUGUCCGAGAUGAAAGAUGAACAUCCUAUGGAGGAUCUCAUUAGUAGGCCAACAUCAGACACUCCCAAGUUUCUCCCCACUACAAUGUUCUUUCUUUCCUUUUUUUUCUUUCAACACGCCUACUUCUUUGCUUUCUCUUUUUCUACUUUCCAUGUAAUUCCUCCAGGUGCUGGCAGUCCAGUUGUUGAGGGACUUCAGCUGGUCGCCUACGCAAACGUCUAUCGGCUAAUCUUUGCAUUCGUUUGCACAAAGGUCAUGACUAAUGACGGUUGUAUAGAAGCACAAUAGCCAGUCACCGGACCCGAGACUGCCCAGUCAUGGUCGCGACAUGGCGUCGGGAAGUAACCUCGCUAAUUUCACCAUCGCUCUUCGUUGUCGCUCAUGAAAGACCAAGGCGGCUCGCUUUUGUGAAUUUGACAUUCUCGAUGACUCCCAUACCUAGAGCAUACCUACAGCACCAGAUUUCCUUCUCGAUUUUCUUUUACGUGGCCACGUUAUCGAUUUUGCAAUCACGCUCCAUACGUAGUUAAAGGUUAAUUUCUACGCUCGUUAGCGAUUGCAGCGAAGGUAUCGUAAAUCAAUUUUCCAUCGAAGCGUUCGAUCGGAUGACGUUUAAAGUGAAAAAGCAUCGAGCUUUCGUAUAGUUUGCUAACUUCUUCAGAAGUUUUAAAAAGAUCCGUACAUUUUGUAAAUUAACUUCGAACGAGGAGUGAAGAUACGAGGGAAUAAAAAUAAAAAACGAUGUCGAAUAGAAAAGAGGCUUCUAGCAGGAAAGAAAGAAAAUAUACACGAGGAAAAAAGUAAAAAAAGCACGGGUAAGUCGGGUGGUAGUCGAAAAGCUAAGUAGCACAAUCUGCGAAACUGCAACUUGGCUAUAACAAAUACGCAAGGAAAUAAAUGUCUGUAUAAAAGAGUUGGCAAGUUCCCCGGAUAAUAUCAAGAUGUCGCCGGAUAUAUUCGUGAGGAGGUCGAGGAGCAACGGGGCUAGGAUGCGGCACAAAAGAACUCGGGUUUUAUCUCCGUUCUUUCAUUCGCCAAGAGGACGUAACGGUGCAUGCGAUAAAGCGAAAUUAUGCUCGAUGCGGAUCCGUUUGUUUAUCGGCACGAUUAGCGCUUGCUUCUUGGCAGUUCCCUACGGAAUCGUGUCGAUGACUCGCGUUUCAAGGCCGGUGUACUUGUUGGCAGGAGGACAAUGAAUGAGUGUCGUAAGAGGAAAGAGAAAAAGUGAUAUCCAAACUUGACGUAAGUUUACGUAAAUCGUAAAACCAGCGAAUCAACGAGCAUGCAGAAACGUAAUAGCUCAGCGCAUAUCCAAGGAAGGAUCAACGUCGUUUCUACGAAAGCAUGAUAAAAUUAGAUUCGCAAUCACGAGUGGGAAUGGAAUUUCGUUUGAGAUACGCCUGCGAUGAUUCCACGAUAACAAAGUCUCGCGUAUGUAUACGCACGUCGGUGGUUAGGUAGCUUCAGCAUGUAAACUUGUCGCUUUAAUACCGUUGACUCAUAGAGAGAGAGAGAGAGAGAGAGAGAGAGAGAGAGAGAGAGAGAGAGAAAGAGAAAACGAUGUGGACAGGGGAAGGGAAGUGAGAAUGAGCGAAGGCAAACGAAAGAGCGUGUCACAUAGAAUUAGGCACGCCUCGGCAAAUUAAUGCGUCCGCCUUGAAGCUCUGGCAGAGGGCAGCAGCUCGACGAUGAAGGAGGAUGAGGGAGUGAGAGAGAGAGAGAGAGAGUGUGUGAGAGAGAGAAGAAGAAGAGAGGGGAACAUAGGCCGACAUCAGUAGAAAGGGAAGGAAUGGAGGGGUGGAAGAGACGUCUAUGUUACACUAACGACAAUGACACUCAUGGAAUGCAAGCGUGGAAAGCACGUCGUAUGCGUUUAUAAUUAUGGCAAGUAACCAGACGUACUUAAAAAGAUUAUUCCAAGUGUGCAUCGCUUAGAGUGUUGCAACCUUUAAUUCGUCGUUAGAACUUCUUUUUUUUACAUAACCAUAGUGGUAGGUAUUUUAAGUGAUUUUAACGCUUAAGAAUUUAGUCGUUUCUUUGGUAUGCGAUUUAAACCAAACGUAAGUUGCGAUUGCAAAUUAAUAUUUUUUCUUAUUUUCUUCACAUGGAUUAGAACGAAAUAGUCAAUUCUGUGUAUUUUUGAUAUCGCACAAGAAAUAUUUUUCAAGAAAUCACUGUGCACUCGUCAGAUUAUUUUUCUAUUUCUUUCGCCGUCACGGUAUUCACAUCUAUUGUCAGGAGGCUAAAAGGUUUUCGUCUUGGGGCGCAUUUCGCGGUACAUUUUGCAGGCUUACCAUAGUAUGUCACUGUCACGACCGUGGCCGGACUCCAUCCUAGCGAGGUACUACGCACACGAACGUCAGACUAUUCGUAUAAAGCGAGGAGUAUCCCAAGCUACGAACAAUCUUGACAGUAGAUCGGCCAACGGAUGACAGGUAUCGACCUGUAUCAACAUCAUUUUCCUGUGAAGCCAUGUCCUGUUUCAUCUCCUGUCUCUCUGUCUUCUCCUUCUCUCUCUCUCUCUCUCUCUCUCUCUCGAUCUUUGUCUCACAUUUUCUCUCGAUGUCUCCUGCAUGUCUGCAUAACGCCUAUCGUGCGUAUAAGACUUGUAACCGAGAGAAAAAAGACGCAUAAUGUGUGUGAGGGAGAGAGAGAGAAAGAGAGAGUGAGAGAUAGAAGAUGAAGGGAGAGGUAGGAUUAUUAUCCGGCCACUCUACUUUGCUACCUAGCGUGUUUCUUGAUUACUAUCGGCGCAGCUGCGCCUACAAUUUGUGUUUCCCGUCAAGCGUGCGUAAGAGAGCCGUCCGUCAACGUCGUGCCCAUAACGACGCGGCUCUUGCCGUUAAGAUGCCGCGGAUAGGCGGCCCGUACCGCAUAUCCGUCACAGAUGCCGCUCUGUCGCGGAUUCUUUCGCCGAUUCGACGUUCCUUACCUCGAGCCGGAGAGCUCGAUGAAAUCCAAAAAAGUCGAAGACUGCUUCGAAGGAAUUACCAGUUAGUUGAGGUUCUCUCUUUCUUUCUGUAUACCUUCUUCGUCUAUCUCGGGAAUUCGAAAAAAGUUUCGAUGCCAUAUGAUCGAUGUGUUCGAUCAUGCUGAUUUUUCUUUCUCUUUCUUUUUUUUUUUUGCUUUUUUCUUUCAUAUUCUCGACGAGUGGAUAGAGACGCUCUACUUGUUCGAGGCAUCGCGUAAAAUAACAAAUUGUAUCUUAAUGUCAUGUAUCAUCAUUGAUGUUGAAGGAUAAGAAAAAGAAACGAGAGAGGUUUGAAAGGGACGGUAAAAUUUUUCUUAGUUAUAACGACAUAAGUACAUUAUGAGGUAAUUUGUUACAGAAUGUAAUUUGUAGUUCAACGUUACUGCUACCUCCGGGAAGAAGUGAACGUCGAUUACAAUCGUUCUGUGUAUGAAUGUAUAUAGGUACAAAACUUACGACUCGUGUCUUUUAUCCAUAAAAUCUGUUUCAACGUCUUGCAUAAUUUUCGUAAUGGUUUUAGUAACGGUAUUUUAAUCGUACGUCGACAUAGAAAGAAAUCGUGAAUUUAGUAAAAGAAGUAAAGCAACCUAAAAUGUUGAAACGAUAUAUAGUAACGUAGAUACAUACUUACAUACAUAUGUA